UCGCUUUGGCAGCACGUACAGUAAAAUCUGAAGGAUAUAGAGAUAGCGCCCCUAAGCAAAGAUGACACGCAAAUUCGUGAAGCGUUCCGUAAAAAA
ensembl:snRNA U6 U6 spliceosomal RNA